AGCUUCGCGCAGUGGCAGUAUCAUAGCCAGUGAGGUUUAUCCGAGGUGCGAUUAUUGCUAAUUGAAAAAUAUGUCUCCCAGU
rnacentral:snRNA from 1 species